GCCUCGGUAGUCUAAUUGGCUAGGACACUUGUGCGUAAAGCAGGCGAUCCGGGUUCGACUCCCGACCGAGGUA
rnacentral:tRNA from 1 species